rnacentral:rRNA from 1 species
CAGUAGCCGCGGUAAUACGAAGGGUGCAAGCGUUAAUCGGAAUUACUGGGCGUAAAGCGCACGCAGGCGGUUUGUUAAGUCAGAUGUGAAAUCCCCGAGCUUAACUUGGGAACUGCAUUUGAAACUGGCAAGCUAGAGUCUUGUAGAGGGGGGUAGAAUUCCAGGUGUAGCGGUGAAAUGCGUAGAGAUCUGGAGGAAUACCGGUGGCGAAGGCGGCCCCCUGGACAAAGACUGACGCUCAGGUGCGAAAGCGUGGGGAGCAAACAGGAUUAGAUACCCCGGUAGUCCCUGUCUCUUAUAC